CGUCGAAAACUUUGCAAUGCGGGAAACCGUGACAAGGGAACCCCGAGUGACCGUAAAUUCGGGCUGUUCCGGUGUACAAAAAGCACCGGNAGAAAGGGCCGGGCAAGACCGGUGCCAGCCGCCGCGGUAAUACCGGCGGCUCGAGUGGUGGCCACUAUUACUGGGCUUAAAGCGUUCGUAGCUGGAUUGUUAAGUCUCUUGGGAAAUCUACCGGCUUAACCGAUAGGCGUUCAAGAGAUACUGGCAAUCUAGGGACCGGGAGAGGUGAGAGGUACUCCAGGUGUAGGA
rnacentral:rRNA from 1 species